rnacentral:lncRNA from 1 species
UGUUGUCAGCUGGGAAAAUAAAGUGUCAGAGUUUCUCUUUUCUUCGAACUACUGAUCGUUCAAUUUUCGUAUCCUCCCAAUUAUCAUUUUUGAAAACGUCCGAACAAUGAUAUACCAGACUGAACGAGAGGAGAAAAUACGAGAUGAAAUGAGGCAGAACGUUUCUAAACGGCAGGCACAAGUUUAUUAGAAGUAAUACACUUUGGAAAUUCAAUCUAAACAUUGAAAAUAAAAGAUCAGCGACCUCGAGAGCGAUUGCUGUAAAGGAAACAAUGGGGAGAGAUAAGCCCACAUCAGUUGUCUUUGGAACGGUGAAACUUAUUGACAAAGUGAAAGAGAAAAACACUUGGUCAGGAAAAAACUUCGAGGCCGUGGGUUGUGACUGCGCUCGACCAUUAUUUCGUCUUUGUUAAACGAGACAAAAAAUGCAUUUGGUAUUCACUUUGAAAUAUUUCAUUUUUAAGAAAAGCCUUUUUCAUUGUGGCUCGUUAACCGAGGCGACUGAAAACCCGCUCGUUUCGUCUUGCUUUUUCGUUCUUUAGACAGUCAAUUUUUUCUUCCGCACACCAAGUCCGCUACAAUAAAAACGUGCACCUUCAGUGGAACUGUGAUUCGCAACAGUAUCGCUCAGUAAUGCGAUACGAAUAGUGAAUCAUCGGGGGAGCCAUACUCCUUAGAUAUUGCGUUCGUUUUAAAUAUGUAACAUACUUUCGUGUGCGCGGAUUGAGAAGGAUGAUAAUGGAGGUUCGCGGAGCGAAGUGAAAACAUGACGACGAGAGAUCGCUUCUCAGCAUCGUGAUUCAUCUGUGCGUUAAAAUCACGCGUGUUGAACUACGAUAAGGACUACUGCAAGAUGGCCAGAACGACGAGAAUUUGUAAUAUGUAUUUUUUGCAUGUACGAGGAAUUCAGAACCGAAAAAAUCUUUUAUUUACGAAUUAUUAUCCAAACUUAUCGCUCUGUGAAUAUAAAAAAAGCCUAAAUGCAAAAUAGUGAUUUGCGGAUGAGAAAAAACUGACGGAAAAUUCAUUUCGAUUCUCAUGAUUUUUGGUUUUGAAAAAUUUGAGGUUACGGUUCAACAGAAUCGACGGGGAACCCCAUACAUGUACUCACAGAUGUGCUCUGCGAGUAUAUUCUCAGUAACGCUGGUGGAAUACGCGGAGGAGUCAUUCCCGAUGACUCACACUCGUGUGUAAGCUUCUAGUUUGGUUCAUUCAUCGCACGAGCCAAGGAAGUACUACAACAAACUGAUCGAUUCAACUUCGCACUACGUUUCAAUCAAUUUUCCAUUUUUUUUUCGUUCUUUCUCAUUUCAUCACCGUCCGCCUACGGCAAAGUUUAGAAAAAUUCACUUCGCACGGAAAUAUCGUCAAUUAUGUUUUAAAAAAUACGAAAAAAGCAUCGAGGAAACGAAUUUCUCGACUCGAGACAUAAAGAGAAAAUAAUGGCGGAUGAUGAAAGUGAAUAAUGUAAAUGUCCGAUGACAGGAACCGUACGAAUCGAGAAAACGUACAAAGAAAUAUUUUAAAUAUUGGUUACUCAAAAAAUUUGCAUUUAUUUGUACAUUUCUAGAGUUCAAUCUAGCGACUGAAAACUUUUUGUUAUCGAGUAUUAUUUUUUCUUAUACCGUGUGGUCUUCCGGGACGUGUGGUCUCGGAGUUUAUUCCUGUUUCCUCUGAAUCACAGUCAAUUUACAUCACGAGAAACCGAAUGAAUCACAUUUUCUGAUUUACUGAAUGAAAAAUUUUCAUUUCGAACUGUCUACGCAUUCGGACGUAAACAUUCAUACGUAUUUUCAUAAACGGAUCAAUUAUGACAGCAAAUUUGUAGCGUUAUCCUGUGAUCUUCCAUAGUAAGUGAAAUAUAUGAAGCCCCUGAUACGCAUCGCGAAUGCGCGAUUCUCACGCAUCGUCUGUGCGAGUUUACGCACAGUCGCCGAAAGAGGCAGCACCGUCGUCAAGGCUCCGAGGCGCAGCACACGCACACGACUCGUCCUUUGUCGAGCGCGUGUGGAGCUGUUACAAAAUUGAGUCUCUGAGAAACUUCGUAACCGUGGAUUAUUCGAAUUUGUGACAAUAAAAAAUUCAAUUACAUUUAACGACUUGUUUUUAUUCAUGAGCUUUAUUCCCAUGGUGCAUUGACGAAAAUCGAAUGCUCGUCCAUGCAGAAAGGAGGUUAGGUCGCGGUCAGAAUUACAGUCGCGAUCAUAAUGAAGAGGGAAGUAUUCGAGAAUGCAUUUGAAUGGUGAAGGAAACCCUGUUCGAAGCUCAACAGCAGUCACGGUGGGCGAAAUAAUUAGCAUAUCAAUGCAUCUUUGUUUUUCCUUGUCAUGUGCGUCGUGCCAAUAUAUAUUUUUUGAUAAACAUGUAUAUUUACUCUCAUUGAUGAUAAACCUUAAAAGGCUGGACCUCGA